rnacentral:rRNA from 1 species
AGGCAGCAGUGAGGAAUAUUGCGCAAUGGGGGCAACCCUGACGCAGCAACGCCGCGUGGAUGAUGAAGGCCUUCGGGUUGUAAAAUCCUUUUCCGGGGGAAGAAUCAUGACGGUACCUCGGGAAUAAGUCCCGGCUAACUACGUGCCAGCAGCCGCGGUAAAACGUAUGGGGCGAGCGUUAUCCGGAUUUACUGGGCGUAAAGCGCACGUAGGCGGCGCUGUAAGUUGGGCGUGAAAGCUCCCGGCUCAACUGGGAGAGGUCGUUCAAAACUGCAGUGCUUGAGGUUGGAAGAGGAGAGUGGAAUUCCCGGUGUAGUGGUGGAAUGCGUAGAUAUCGGGAGGAACACCAUUGGCGAAGGCGGCUCUCUGGUCCAACCCUGACGCUGAGGUGCGAAAGCGUGGGGAGCGAACGGGAUUAGAUACCCCGGUAGUCCACGCUGUAAACGAUGGAUACUAAGUGUGGGAGGUUACUUACCCCUUCCGUGCCGUAGCUAACGUGAUAAGUUUCCCGCCUGGGGACUACGGCCGCAAUGUUACAACUUCAAGUGACUUGACGGGGGCCCGAACAGGCAGCGGAGCGUGUGGUUAAUUCGAUGAUACGCGAAGAACCUUACCUGGGCUUGACAUGUUGGUAGUAGUGAAGCGAAAGCGGAUCGACCCUUCGGGGAGCCAUCACAGGUGCUGCAUGGCUGUCGUCAGCUCGUGUCGUGAGAUGUUGGGUUAAGUCCCGCAACGAGCGCAACCCUUGUCGUUAGUUACAUGUGUCUAGCGAGACUGCCGGUACCAAACCGGAGGAAGGUGGGGAUGACGUCAAGUCAGCAUGGUCUUUAUGUCCAGGGCUACACACACGCUACAAUGGCCGGUACAAUAGGUUGCCACACCGCGAGGUGGAGCUAAUCCCCAAAGCCGGUCUCAGUUCGGAU